rnacentral:rRNA from 1 species
GUGGGGAAUAUUGGACAAUGGGGGGAACCCUGAUCCAGCCAUGCCGCGUGUGUGAAGAAGGCCUUUUGGUUGUAAAGCACUUUAAGCGAGGAGGAGGCUACCGAGAUUAAUACUCUUGGAUAGUGGACGUUACUCGCAGAAUAAGCACCGGCUAACUCUGUGCCAGCAGCCGCGGUAAUACAGAGGGUGCAAGCGUUAAUCGGAUUUACUGGGCGUAAAGCGCGCGUAGGUGGCCAAUUAAGUCAAAUGUGGAAUCGCCGAGCUUAACUUGGGAAUUGCAUUCGAUACUGGUUGGCUAGAGUAUGGGAGAGGAUGGUAGAAUUCCAGGUGUAGCGGUGGAAUGCGUAGAGAUCUGGAGGAAUACCGAUGGCGAAGGCAGCCAUCUGGCCUAAUACUGACACUGAGGUGCGAAAGCAUGGGGAGCAAACAGGAUUAGAAACCCGGGUAGUCC